rnacentral:tRNA from 1 species
GCCGCGGUAGCUCAGUAGUAGAGCACGGCUCUGAAAAAGCCGGUGUCGUCAGUGCGAUUCUGACCCGCGGCACCA